rnacentral:rRNA from 1 species
GACGAACGCUGGCGGCGUGCUUAACACAUGCAAGUCGAACGGAAAGGCCCUGCUUUUGUGGGGUGCUCGAGUGGCGAACGGGUGAGUAACACGUGAGUAACCUGCCCUUGACUUUGGGAUAACUUCAGGAAACUGGGGCUAAUACCGGAUAGGAGCUCCUGCUGCAUGGUGGGGGUUGGAAAGUUUCGGCGGUUGGGGAUGGACUCGCGGCUUAUCAGCUUGUUGGUGGGGUAGUGGCUUACCCAGGCUUUGACGGGUAGCCGGCCUGAGAGGGUGACCGGGCACAUUGGGACUGAGAGACGGCCCAGACUCCUACGGGGGGCAGCGGUGGGGAAUAUUGCACAAUGGGCGGAAGCCUGAGGCAACAACGCCGCGGGCGGGAUGACGGUCUGCGGGUGAUAAACCGCUUUCGCCUGUGACGAAGCGGGAGUGACGGUAAUGGAUAAAGAAGCACCGGCUAACUACGUG